rnacentral:lncRNA from 1 species
UCAACUCAAAAAAAUUUCACUCGAUUCGAUUAAACACUCACAUUUAUUUUAUCCAUACAUCAAUAUAUCUGAUAAAUAAAUAAUAUAGAAUUUUAGGUAUGGUUAAUAAAUAAAAAGAUAAUACAUGAUUAAAAAAAUUAAAAAGAAAAUGCAUCAUAUACACAAGUAGCCCUGGGUGCCAUUAACCAUAAAAGUUCGUGUGUUGUUAAAGGAGGCAAGAGAAAAGUCGGAUCCCACUCAUAAAUACUUGGACCCAUUUUCCACAUGGGUCUAGUAGUAGUGUAGGUUAAUGGGUUACUUCCCCCAAGUGCACAUUAGCUUGGGUUGAGUAAGAACUAAGAACCCGUCUUCUUUCCUCCAUUACGCGUAGAGAUGGAAAUAGUGAAAGAAGCAAAACAACUAGAAAACGAAAAACACUAUUGCACUGUGUUUGAGAGCAGGGGAGUAAUGAUGUCUGGUCCAUGGGGAAACAGCUCCCGCGCUGUUUCCGGGCGCCUCUCUCGAAACCCCACGCCUCAGAAAUGAGACCCCUACCAUAUAAACACAC